GGUCUGAUAGCACAACUGGUUAGUGCAUCUACUCAACAUAAUAAUCUUCAAACUCGCUCAAUAGAAGAUCCCCGUUCGAGCCGGGGUCAGGCCA